rnacentral:rRNA from 1 species
GACGAACGCUGGCGGCGUGCUUAACACAUGCAAGUCGAACGGAAAGGCCCUGCUUUUGUGGGGUGCUCGAGUGGCGAACGGGUGAGUAACACGUGAGUAACCUGCCCUUGACUUUGGUAUAACUUCAGGAAACUGGGGCUAAUACCGGAUAGGAUCUCCUGCUGCAUGGUGGGGGUUGGAAAGUUUCGGCGGUUGGGGAUGGACUCGCGGCUUAUCAGCUUGUUGGUGGGGUAGUGGCUUACCAAGGCUUUGACGGGUAGCCGGCCUGAGAGGGUGACCGGGCACAUUGGGACUAAGAUACGGCGCAGAAUGCUACGGGAGGCAGCAGUGGGGAAUAUUGCACAAUGGGCGGAAGCGUGAUGCAGAAACGCCGCGUGCGGGAUGACGGCCUUCGGGUUGUAAACAGCAGUCGACUGUGACGAAGCGUGAGUGACGGUAAUGGGUAAAGAAGCACCGGCUAACUACGUG